rnacentral:rRNA from 1 species
AUUGAACGCUGGCGGCAUGCCUUACACAUGCAAGUCGAACGGCAGCACGGAGCUUGCUCUGGUGGCGAGUGGCGAACGGGUGAGUAAUAUAUCGGAACGUACCCUAGAGUGGGGGAUAACGUAGCGAAAGUUACGCUAAUACCGCAUACGAUCUAAGGAUGAAAGUGGGGGAUCGCAAGACCUCAUGCUCGUGGAGCGGCCGAUAUCUGAUUAGCUAGUUGGUAGGGUAAAAGCCUACCAAGGCAUCGAUCAGUAGCUGGUCUGAGAGGACGACCAGCCACACUGGAACCGAGACACGGUCCAGACUCCUACGGGAGGCAGCAGUGGGGAAUUUUGGACAAUGGGCGAAAGCCUGAUCCAGCAAUGCCGCGUGAGUGAAGAAGGCCUUCGGGUUGUAAAGCUCUUUUGUCAGGGAAGAAACGGUGAGAGCUAAUAUCUCUUGCUAAUGACGGUACCUGAAGAAUAAGCACCGGCUAACUACGUGCCAGCAGCCGCGGUAAUACGUAGGGUGCAAGCGUUAAUCGGAAUUACUGGGCGUAAAGCGUGCGCAGGCGGUUUUGUAAGUCUGAUGUGAAAUCCCCGGGCUCAACCUGGGAAUUGCAUUGGAGACUGCAAGGCUAGAAUCUGGCAGAGGGGGGUAGAAUUCCACGUGUAGCAGUGAAAUGCGUAGAUAUGUGGAGGAACACCGAUGGCGAAGGCAGCCCCCUGGGUCAAGAUUGACGCUCAUGCACGAAAGCGUGGGGAGCAAACAGGAUUAGAUACCCUGGUAGUCCACGCCCUAAACGAUGUCUACUAGUUGUCGGGUCUUAAUUGACUUGGUAACGCAGCUAACGCGUGAAGUAGACCGCCUGGGGAGUACGGUCGCAAGAUUAAAACUCAAAGGAAUUGACGGGGACCCGCACAAGCGGUGGAUGAUGUGGAUUAAUUCGAUGCAACGCGAAAAACCUUACCUACCCUUGACAUGGCUGGAAUCCUUGAGAGAUCAGGGAGUGCUCGAAAGAGAACCAGUACACAGGUGCUGCAUGGCUGUCGUCAGCUCGUGUCGUGAGAUGUUGGGUUAAGUCCCGCAACGAGCGCAACCCUUGUCAUUAGUUGCUACGAAAGGGCACUCUAAUGAGACUGCCGGUGACAAACCGGAGGAAGGUGGGGAUGACGUCAAGUCCUCAUGGCCCUUAUGGGUAGGGCUUCACACGUCAUACAAUGGUACAUACAGAGCGCCGCCAACCCGCGAGGGGGAGCUAAUCGCAGAAAGUGUAUCGUAGUCCGGAUUGUAGUCUGCAACUCGACUGCAUGAAGUUGGAAUCGCUAGUAAUCGCGGAUCAGCAUGUCGCGGUGAAUACGUUCCCGGGUCU